AGUGGGGAAUAUUGGACAAUGGGGGCAACCCUGAUCCAGCCAUGCCGCGUGAGUGAUGAAGGCCUUAGGGUUGUAAAGCUCUUUCACCCGGGACGAUAAUGACGGUACCGGGAGAAGAAGCCCCGGCUAACUUCGUGCCAGCAGCCGCGGUAAUACGAAGGGGGCUAGCGUUGUUCGGAAUCACUGGGCGUAAAGCGCACGUAGGCGGACCGUUAAGUCUGAGGUGAAAGCCUGGGGCUCAACCCCAGAACUGCCUUCGAUACUGGCGGUCUCGAGUCCGGAAGAGGUGAGUGGAACUGCCAGUGUAGAGGUGAAAUUCGUAGAUAUUGGCAAGAACACCAGUGGCGAAGGCGGCUCACUGGUCCGGUACUGACGCUGAGGUGCGAAAGCCGGGGGAGCGAACG
rnacentral:rRNA from 1 species